GUCCCCGUAGCUCAGCAGGAUAGAGCGCAGCCCUCCUAAGGCUGAUGUGCCCGUUCGAGUCGGGCCGGGGACA
rnacentral:tRNA from 1 species